AACCAUUUCACUAUCACCAAAUGUGGAAACAAAUGCAGAUAAAAUUCUGAGGACACUUUCACAUUGGUUGUUGUGGAUUGGGCACAAAUAAUUGACAUAAUAUUUUAUGACUUCCGCCAUAAGGAAGUGGGUGUUCUCAGCUUUUUCUCAUAUUGGUUGUCUUGGAUUGGGCAAACCAUAAUCAUUGCUUCAUUCCUCACGAAGAGAGAGAGGGAUCAGCGCACACCCUUUUACAGAGACUGUCAGAGGGAAUACCCAUCAAUUGUUAAUUCAUUUGAAUUAGAAAUUCGUUUACAGUAAUUCAGUAAUGGGCAGGAGCUUUCAUGGGAUUCCUUUCUUUGCUGGGUGCUUCCUUUAGCUGUACACUGUCGGCAGAGCUUACCGUGUGUGAACAGGAGACAGUUCAGAUCAAAUUUUAGUUCAUUUGGGAUCCGAUGGUUCAGAUGAAGAAUUGAAAGUCCAUAUUGUAAACACGGUUCGGGUUGUGAACCGGGUGAGGAGGAAGCUGUGCCUCUUGUAAGCAGCGGAGUAAGAGCAAGUUGUGCCUCUUGUAAGCAGCGGAUUGUAAGGGAAGCUUCGUCCCAAUUAAAGGCGCAAGGAUUUAGUGGAAUCCUUGAGUGAGUUACUCAAGGUGAGGACGUAGGCCGGAUUAGCUGAACCUCGUAAAAUCGUAUUUGCCUUCUCUCUUUCCUUAACUUUUUAAUUUUCGUUUGCAUUUCAUUAUCAGCUUUUGCAUGUUUGUAUGUUGAUAAAUAUUACAUGCACUUGAUAAUUAAUUGGAUAUAAUUGAAUUUAUUGAGAUAAUAAUUUGAAUUAA